GACGAACGCUGGCGGCGUGCUUAACACAUGCAAGUCGAACGGAAAGGCCUGCUUUCCCUUGUGGAUUGCGGGUACUCGAGUGGCGAACGAGUGAGUAACACGUGAGUGAUCUGCCCCCAACUUGGGUAUAAGCCUGGGAAACUGGGUCUAAUUCCCGAUAGGACUGCAGGGUGGUGCCUGUGGUGGAAAACGAUUUUCUAGUGGUUGGGGAUGAGCUCGCGGCCUAUCAGCUUGUUGGUGGGGUAAUGGCCUACCAAGGCGGCGACGGGUAGCCGGCCUGAGAGGGUGGACGGCCACAUUGGGACUGAGAUACGGCCCAGACUCCUACGGGAGGCAGCAGUGGGGAAUAUUGCACAAUGGGCGGAAGCCUGAUGCAGCGACGCCGCGUGGGGGAUGACGGCCUUCGGGUUGUAAACUCCUUUCGACCGCGAGGAAGCCACCUGGUUGGAAGGGUGGUGACGGUAGUGGUAGAAGAAGCUCCGGCUAACUACGUG
rnacentral:rRNA from 1 species